rnacentral:pre_miRNA from 1 species
CUGGUUUCAUAUGGUGGUUUAGAUUGGAAUAGUGAUUGUCUAGCACCAUUUGAAAUCAGUGU